AAGAAAGAGGCGAGAGAGAGGAAAGAGAAGAAACAGGAGAGAGAGGAGAUUUAUUUUCUGAAUCUCUUCUUUCUAUCUUAAUUCCCUGAUGUUCAUUCUCUUCUUCUUC
rnacentral:ribozyme from 13 species